rnacentral:lncRNA from 1 species
GUUAAACAUAAAAUCCCAAAUAACAAUCGGAUAAUUCUUAUUUUCUCGUCGUCUUCAAACCCUUUCUCGUCGUAUUGUGAUUUGCAACCUCAAUCAGAGUUUGUAAAGAUCGAAAAGAAUGUUAAGCUCCGAAACUGAUUUCAGGAAGUCAUCAACCAGAGAUUCCGAAUCGGACAGUGAUGAUGAUAGGAUCUACCAAGAUUUUGAGGCGCCAAAGUUCUUCGAUUUUUCCGUAAAAACACAGCUAGGUAACCGUAUAAGUGAAAUCUUUGCAUAGUGAAGACUACUACUUUUUCCGUAAAUUAUUUUUUUAAUUUUUAUUCCAUUUAUAGAUUUAUUUUUUAUUCCCUCUUUAAAGUUGAAACAAAGUCUUUGACUGGUUUUUUAGAAUUUAGUAGCUGUAGACUGUAAUGGUAACAUGAUCAUUUAACCAGGGCAAAUUACGUUGCAUCCCCUCUUGCAGUGGCUCAUGCUUUUGCUGAAACAGUAUGUCUGUUUAAAUUAUUGUAUUUUCUUUAUUGAAAUCUUAAGUAUAAAUUUAGAAAUUUGAUCGCGUUCUUUGAAAGUUUAGAUAAAAUUAUGGCUUAAUCAAUUUAUUUCGAUUCAUGAUUUAAUUUUUUUUACUUUUUAUAUAGAUCCCAAUCAUUUUUUUUCGAUAUAAAUAUUGUUAACAAAGUCAGUUUGCGCAUCAUUUUUUUGCUAAAAUAUACCAAAAUCUAUGUUUCUAGGAUUCAUCGAUUUCUUCAUCGAAAAAAAAUACAUUGAUUUCAUUCUCAGGGUAUCUCGUAUACAAGUAAUAGAGGAUUGGAGGGAAGUACAUUCGUAUAUUUUGCUAUACAAGUUGCACCUGGGGCUUAAGUUUAGGAAAGAUACCAUAUUUAUCCGACAACAAUUUCAUAUUUAAUGAACUACAGAAGUUUCAUAUAUUAAGGAAUUAUUUUGUUUUACAUCAAUAUGGCCAUAUGACCAUAUCCAUAUGGGACUAAAAUUUCUUACAUGCAUAAAAAUCUUUAUA